rnacentral:rRNA from 1 species
UUCCGGUUGAUCCAGCCGGAAGUCACCGCUAUUGGGAUUCGAUUAAGCCAUGCGAGUCGAGAGGGUUCGGCCCUCGGCAGACGGCUCAGUAACACGCGGAUAAUCUACCCUAAGGUGGAGGAUAACCUCGGGAAACUGAGAAUAAUACUCCAUAAAUCUAGGAUGCUGGAAUGCAUCUAGAUUGAAAGCUCCGGCGCCUUAGGAUGAGUCUGUGGACUAUCAGGUAGUAGUCAGGGUAAUGACCUGACUAGCCUACGACGGAUACGGGUUGUGAGAGCAAUAACCCGGAGACGAUAUCUGAGACACGAUAUCGGGCCCUACGGGGCGCAGCAGGCGCGAAAACUUCACACUGUGCGAAAGCGCGAUGAGGGAAUCCCAAGUGCUUGCUCGUAAGAGUAAGCUGUUUUUCUGUUUAAAAUGCAGAGAGAGUAAGGGCUGGGUAAGACGGGUGCCAGCCGCCGCGGUAAUACCUGCAGUUCAAGUGGUGGCCACUAUUAUUGGGCCUAAAACGUCCGUAGCCGGUUCAGUAAAUGCCUGGGUAAAUUGUGUAGCUUAACUAUACGAAUACCGGGUAGACUGCUAAACUUGAGACCGGGAGAGGCUAGGGGUACUCCUAGGGUAGAGGUGAAAUUCUGUAAUCCUAGGGGGACCACCAGUGGCGAAGGCGUCUAGCCAGAACGGGUCUGACGGUGAGGGACGAAGCCCUGGGUCACAAACCGGAUUAGAUACCCGGGUAGUCCAGGGUGUAAACGCUGCUCGCUUGAUGUUAGUUGGGCUCCGAGCCCAACUAGUGUCGGAGAGAAGUUGUUAAGCGAGCUGCCUGGGGAGUACGGUCGCAAGGCUGAAACUUAAUGAAUUGGCGGGGGAGCACUGCAACGGUGGAGCGUGCGUUUAAUUGGAAUCAACGCCG